rnacentral:lncRNA from 1 species
UAUAUAUAGUUGAAUAUAAAGUUCAGCACUGUUUUUGUCUCCUUCAGGUAACAUUACUUGACUGAAGUAAUGAAUCUACUCCUGAUUUGCUGCAAUCUGAUUUUUAUAUUAUAAAUUGCACUGUUUUAGAAAAUGGGUUCUGGGUUCAGAAGCCAACAUUUACAAUCUCUUCAAGAAUACCAGGUUAGAGAAGUUACAAUGAAGUGAAAAUGGAGUAGGACUCAAAAGGUGGAAGGAGUUUCAUAAGAGGAGACCAAGCUGAAAAAAUACUUAUGCAUGGCUGGGAAGGAACCAAGACACAGGAGCCUGACAAACUCACAAAACAAAAGGCCACCAUCAAGUCGUGUGCAUGGUGUUUGCUGGAGUGAACGUAAGCCUGCCAUUGAACACAGGGUGAUAAAUUUCAAGGCUUUACUUCUUCAUACUUCUGUUUACUCUUGUGAUGAGGUGGAUAUUUUAUCAGCAUUGUGCAGUGCUGAAAGGCUCCCAGGGUAUGAGAAUUAAUUUGGCUGCUGUACUAAAGACGUAAAUUACACAGGAAGUAGUGAACUUUUAAAACAACUAUUGAACAUCCAGGAUCUGCACUGUUAAUGAUUUUCCAACCCACUCCUGUUCAUUCUCAACUAUAAUAAAUAAUAAUUUUUAAAGGAAGUAUUUUAGUUG